AUGGCCGAGGAAGGCAGGCACAUCGCCGCCGGUGACCCCAUCCGGCCGCCGCGGCUGGAGGAUGCGGGCCUGGAGGACUGCGCGCUCCCGCCGGAAUCCAUCGCCGAGGCUUUCUCCCUUGCGGCGUUGGCCGUCUCCUCCCGCCUCCCCCACCUCUCCCUCUCCGACGACGAGGACGAGGACGAGGGAGAUGACCCCCUCGCGCCUCGUGGAGGCUGCGUGGAGGACGCGGGACCCACCCGAGGGGCCAUUCCCGACGCCCUUGUUGGCGCAGGGGGCGGCAGCGAGGGCGGCGCCGACGAGGUCGUGGUCGUCGGCGGCGGUGGCGGAGGAGGCAGCGACGAGGUGGUAGUCGUCGGGCGCGGAGACGAGGAAGAUAGGGUUGUUGUGGUCGGAGAAGAGCUGGGGCAGGAGAAGCGUUGCGGCAAGGGAACCAGAGAAGGAGAGCGCCGGAAGGAGGAGGAGGAGGAGGAGGAGACGGUGGAGAAGGCCAUCUUGCUGGAAGAUUUCGCGUGA
rnacentral:rRNA from 1 species